GAUGAACGCUGGCGGCGUGCCUAAUACAUGCAAGUCGAGCGAACGGACGAGAAGCUUGCUUCUCUGAUGUUAGCGGCGGACGGGUGAGUAACACGUGGAUAACCUACCUAUAAGACUGGGAUAACUUCGGGAAACCGGAGCUAAUACCGGAUAAUAUUUUGAACCGCAUGGUUCAAAAGUGAAAGACGGUCUUGCUGUCACUUAUAGAUGGAUCCGCGCUGCAUUAGCUAGUUGGUAAGGUAACGGCUUACCAAGGCAACGAUGCAUAGCCGACCUGAGAGGGGGAUCGGCCACACUGGAACUGAGACAGGGUCCAGACUCCUAAGGGAGGCAGCAGUAGGGAAUCUUCCGCAAUGGGCGAAAGCCUGACGGAGCAACGCCGCGUGAGUGAUGAAGGUCUUCGGAUCGUAAAAAUCUGUUAUUAGGGAAGAACAUAUGUGUAAGUAACUGUGCACAUCUUGACGGUACCUAAUCAGAAAGCCACGGCUAACUACGUG
rnacentral:rRNA from 1 species